GGGGUUGUGGCUCAGUGGCAGAGCACUUGCCUCACACGUAUGAGGCACUGGGUUCAAUCCUUAGCACCA
rnacentral:tRNA from 1 species